rnacentral:lncRNA from 1 species
CCAGCUCUACGAGUGCUGAUCACUGAAUGCCCUGCUGGAAAAUUCCUCUUUUUCUUCUUUUUCCAGGGUCCUCAUGGGCAAAUAGAGACAAAAUUCAUCACCACAGUGCUUGGCAUGCAGUAAAGUUCAAUGAAGGGGCCCACUCAAGAUGGUCAUGAGCAGCCCCAGGCAUGACUUUGGGAACUCCAGUGGAAAGAAGGCAUUCCUUUUUGGCUAGAUCCAGAAAAAGUCCUGCCUAAGACUGACAUUGGCUCUGUUUGGUCACUGAGUCAAAUUCUGACAAACCACAUUGAUUCUUAACAGCACCUGGUGAACACGAGCCUGGACCCUAUAGAACCCUAAGGCUUCACGAGUCUGAGCCUGCAGUUGGACCAGCAUGGCCACUGUUCUGGACCUAUUCCCGUGGCUUGAAUGUGCACACAGUUCAGCUGGCCCAGUUCUACCAGAGGCAAAGGGGUUCCUUGCAGAUGUGAUGCCAGGAGGACAGUCAUGCCUGUGCUUCCAGGAACCCCCAUUCUAUUCUAUGCCAGAGACACACAGAUGGUGGCUGGAUUCCAGCCACAGAUGCAGCUCCCUCAAGAACAGUGAAGCCUACAACAGGAGUGUGCCCCCUCUGGGUCUCAGGCCUGAGGGGACAGUAGCAUCUGUGUGACCGAAGACUCACCCUCUGUGAGUGGAACAGUUAAGGCUGUCUGUGGCCUAGCAUCUGCUGGUCCCAUUCACUAUGGCAAGGCUGUGGACAUUCAGUCUUAGACCUUCUCACCCCAGUGCCUGAACUCAACAGGAAAACGUCAGCUGCAAAGUCCUGGACUCUGCCUGCCAUCACCAUCACUCUACAGACAUCUUCAGCACAUCUCUGUGAGAUUACUUCCUUUAUACUAGGGUUUUGUGUAGCUAUUUCCUCCUGGUGGCAACACUCCUUCCUGGAGAUGCUAAGCUCACAAUGAAGUUACAAGACUCAUGAGGCCCCAGACCCCAUGAGGCUCCCUCCUUGAGGUUAUAUAAGCUUAAACAAUUACUGUAGAGUUACUAGCAUGUUAUUCAGGGAGUUUCAGGGAUGCACCUUUCAUGAGAUUGUCACCCAUGCUGGAGGGGAGGAGGGAUUUUCAGCAGUACAGCAGCCUGAGUCACCUAUGUUCCUGUAAGUGACCCAAAUAAACUCAUUGGUUCACUAAGUUAAACUGGGGUGAAAUAGUUUUUUUAGCCCAUUGUCGGCACCCUAUCUGACGUCCAUGGACAUCUGCUCACAUCUCCAGCAGGACAAUACUGAGGAUUUAUAUGUAAUGUAUUAUUUUGCUCUCGGGCUAACUCCAUUGAGUAUGGUACAAUGAAUAUUCCCACAUUUUCCUAAACUGGAAACUGAGACACCAAGGUUAAAGAGCUCCUGAAGAAGCACAGAGAAAGGGAAGUGGAGAUUUCCCAUUUGUCAGGCAAAGUGGGAAGGUCUGCAGUGAAUCCAUAUCAGGUUAGAGAAAAGGGGUGUCGACAGAGAUUCAAGCUCCUGGUGAGAGAUGAAGGCAAUGUGGGGGGUGGGGGGACACACAUCAGGGCAAGUAUCGUUUGCAUGAGUCCUAACCCACUAAAAACUGUGAAGUGAAAAUAGUUUAAAACAAGGACAAUCAAGGUGGAGUCCCACAUGUGAGCAGUGUGAUGGCACUCGGGAUGGAGUCCCAGGGGUGAGCAGUGUAAUGUGCUGGC